UUCCCACCCAGGGGGCUCCCUCGCGGCUGCGGUGAGCAGGCAGUGCGGGCGCGGCGUUCCGCAUGACCACCUCGCCGGGUCCGGGCAUCGCCCGCGGGACCGAUGGGCCCCCGCGGCCACCCUCGCCAGGCGCACCCACCCCGAGCUUCCCACGCCGGGGCGGGCAAGCGCAACACCUUCUCCUACCUUCCAGCCGCCGAGGACCGCACUCUCCGCUCAGCCCUCUCGACUCAUCCUCUGGCUGCAGGGAGGGCGAGCGGGCUCUGCUUUUGUUCCCUGGGGCUGGCAGGUCCGUGUGGGGCCUGGGCGCGCGGGGGAUGUCGAGGAGCUGGGUAUCCCGGACAGGGGAUGCUCACUCCCAGCAGCUCCGCCCGCAGCAGCGGCGGCAGUGGCGGCGGCGGCAGCAGCAGCAGCAGCAGCGGCAGAGAUAGUGCCGGCUCUCUGCAGGCCACAUCUUUCAUACCUUAUACAUCACUACCGCAUUCCCCCGAAUAGGGGAGCCCCAUAGCAUUUCGCCACCUAGCGCAGAAUGCAGGCGCCCACAGCAGCGGUGGAGGGGACCUAGCCGGGAUGCGAGCACCGCGAGAGGAGAAGGACCUCAGCACCCGCUCGCAGGCUCUCUCCCCGCUCCAAUCAUCGCGAGGCCUGCAACUUGUAGCAGCCAUUCUGCAGUCCUGACCUAGGAUUGUCUGUUCCCCAGGGAGGUCCGGACUUCAGGCCAAGCAACACAGUUUAUUAGGGGGAGCCCUCUCCCAGUUUCCACUCGGGUCUUGGCCAGCACAUGCGUCCUCCUCGCUGGAGUCUCCGCACACGAGGCUUUGCAGCAGCAGACACACACCCUCUUGCAUGUGCGUAAGCCCGCGAGACACAUUUCUGCGCUCCCCACCAACCAGUGUGUGCGUCCAGGAGCAGGUAGGCAAGGGUUCCCGUCACGGUUGUGUGACCUUAAGCAAACUGCCAAAUAAUGGAGCCUCCGAUUCUUCAUCGGCACACUGGGAAUCAGAUGGUCUGUCUCACAGGACUGCUGUGAGAAGCCAGUGAGAUAAGCACAGAGCUUGACACCGGUCAUGCGAUGGCAAAUGAUGGAGCUUUUCUUCUUCAGCCAGUGCAGGUCUGCCCUUCCUGGGACAGUAAGAUAUCAGCCACAAUUCACUCACUCAGUCUGCUAGAGGGAAAGCCCACUUGAUUGGCACCCCUGGAGCUUGGAUGUGAAUUUCUCCUACCAGUCUCCGAGGACCCCUUUCCUCAACUUGAAAGUGUAAAUAAUAAUAUGUUUUCUCGUUAAAUUAUUGUGAGGAUUAAACAAGAUGACAAAGGCACCUGAGGCUAAAUAGUCAUUAAUUUCCUCUUCGCCAUAACCCUCAUGUUGAGGUCUUCCAGACUGCCCCUCCAGGAGCCCCCGGAGGGUUCCUA
rnacentral:lncRNA from 1 species